rnacentral:rRNA from 1 species
UACGGAGGGUGCAAGCGUUAAUCGGAAUUACUGGGCGUAAAGCGCACGCAGGUGGCUGCGUCAGUCGAUUGUGAAAGCCCUGGGCUUAACCUGGGAAUUGCAGUCGAUACUACUCGGCUCGAGUAUGGGAGAGGGCAGUGGAAUUCCCGGUGUAGCGGUGAAAUGCGUAGAUAUCGGGAGGAACAUCAGUGGCGAAGGCGGCUGCCUGGCCCAAUACUGACACUCAGGUGCGACAGCGUGGGGAGCAAACAGG